GGGAUCUAGUUGGUGAAGGUUAAACUCAUAAUCCGUUGGUCCUAGGUUCAAGUCCUAGUGGGCCCACCA
rnacentral:tRNA from 1 species